rnacentral:rRNA from 1 species
CCUGGUUGAUCUUGCCAGUAGUCAUAUGCUUGUCUCACAGAUUAAGCCAUGCAAGUGAAAGUACAUAUGUAAAUAAUAUAUUGAAACUGCGAACGGCUCAUUAAAACAGUUAUAAUCUACUUGAUGUUUUUAAUAUAAGGAUAACUACGGAAAAUCUGUAGCUAAUACUUGUGAAAAUACCUUUUGAUAUAUACAUAUGUAUGUAUCAUUAAGGUAUGUAUUUGUUAGAUAUAAGAAUAAAAUAAAUAUAAUUGAAUUAUAACAAAGAAGAAACACAUAAAAUAUGUGUAUUAUCAAUCGAGUAUCUGACCUAUCAGCUUUUGAUGUUAGGGUAUUGACCUAACAUGGCUAUGACGGGUAACGGGGAAUUAGAGUUCGAUUCCGGAGAGGGAGCCUGAGAAAUAGCUACCACAUCUAAGGAAGGCAGCAGGCGCGUAAAUUACCCAAUUCUAAAAAAGAGAGGUAGUGACAAGAAAUAACAAUACAAUAUCGAAAAAUGAUUUUGUAAUUGGAAUGAUAGGAAUUUACAAGGUUCCUAGAGAAACAAUUGGAGGGCAAGUCUGGUGCCAGCAGCCGCGGUAAUUCCAGCUCCAAUAGCAUAUAUUAAAAUUGUUGCAGUUAAAACGUUCGUAGUUGAAUAUUAAAGAAUCCGAUGUUUCAUUUAAACUGGUUUGGGAAAACCAAAUGUAUUAUAUAUUUUGCUUUGUUCAAAAUAAGGUUUUCUAAUAAAUUAUGUUUUUAUCAGAUAUGACAGAAUCUUUUUUAAAAUCUCUUCAAUAUGCUUUUAUUGCUUUUGAGAGGUUUUGUUACUUUGAGUAAAAUUAAGUGUUCAUAACAGACGGGUAGUCAUGAUUGAGUUCAUUGUGUUUGAAUACUACAGCAUGGAAUAACAAAUAUGAAUAAGCUAAUUAUUUUUUUUUUCAUAUUUUUUUUGAUAUUCUUAUUAGCUUAGUUACGAUUAAUAGGAGUAGCUUUGGGGGCAUUCGUAUUCAGAUGUCAGAGGUGAAAUUCUAAGAUUUUCUGGAGACGGACUACUGCGAAAGCAUUUGCCUAAUCUAUUUCCAUUAAUCAAGAACGAAAGUUAAGGGAGUGAAGACGAUCAGAUACCGUCGUAAUCUUAACCAUAAACUAUACCGACUAGGUGUUGGAUGAAUAUAAAAAAUAUAUAAAUAUGUAGCAUUUCUUAGGGAAUGUUGAUUUUAUAUUAGAAUUGCUUCCUUCAGUACCUUAUGAGAAAUCAAAGUCUUUGGGUUCUGGGGCGAGUAUUCGCGCAAGCGAGAAAGUUAAAAGAAUUGACGGAAGGGCACCACCAGGCGUGGAGCUUGCGGCUUAAUUUGACUCAACACGGGAAAACUCACUAGUUUAAGACAAGAGUAGGAUUGACAGAUUAAUAGCUCUUUCUUGAUUUCUUGGAUGGUGAUGCAUGGCCGUUUUUAGUUCGUGAAUAUGAUUUGUCUGGUUAAUUCCGAUAACGAACGAGAUCUUAACCUGCUAAUUAGCGGUAAGUACACUAUAUUUUUAUUUGAAAUUGAAUAUAGGUAAUUAUACAUGUUUAUUCAGUGUUCAAAUUAGGAUAUUUUUUUAUUAAAAUAUUCUUUUCCCUGUUCUACUAUAAUAAUUUGUUUUUUUUUACUCUAUUUCUCUCUUCUUUUAAGAAUGUACUUGUUUGAUUAAAUAAAGCUUCUUAGAGGAACAGUGUGUAUCUAACACAAGGAAGUUUAAGGCAACAACAGGUCUGUGAUGUCCUUAGAUAAACUAGGCUGCACGCGUGCUACAAUGAUAUAUAUAACAAGUUGUUAAAAAUGUACUUAUAAAUAAGUGUGUACAGUUUUUCCUGUACUGAAAAGUAUAGGUAAUCUUUAUCAGUAUAUAUCGUAAUUGGGAUAGAUUAUUGCAAUUAUUAAUCUUGAACGAGGAAUGCCUAGUAAGCAUGAUUCAUUAGAUUGUGCUGACUACGUCCCUGCCCUUUGUACACACCGCCCGUCGCUCCUACCGAUUGAAAGAUAUGAUGAAUUGUUUGGAUAUGAAUUAAAAUAAUGAAAUUUUAUAUUUCUGAUUUUUUCUAGAAGAACUGUAAAUCCUAUCUUUUAAAGGAAGGAGAAGUCGUAACAAGGUUUCCGUAGGUGAACCUGCGGAAG